GACAGAGGGUGCAAACGUUGUUCGGAAUUACUGGGCGUAAAGCGCGUGUAGGCUGCUCAGCAAGUCGGAUGUGAAAGCCCUGGGCUUAACCUAGGAAGUGCAUUCGAAACUUCUGAGCUAGAGUUCUGGAGAGGAAGGCGGAAUUCUCGGUGUAGAGGUGAAAUUCGUAGAUAUCGAGAGGAACACCGGUGGCGAAGGCGGCCUUCUGGACAGUAACUGACGCUGAGACGCGAAAGCGUGGGGAGCAAACAGG
rnacentral:rRNA from 1 species